rnacentral:tRNA from 1 species
ACAUAGGUGGUUUAGUGGAUAGAAUUCUGGACUUGGGAUUCAGAAGACCUGAGUUCAAAUCUUGCCUAGCUG